AGGGCACCACCAGGAGUGGAGCCUGCGGCUUAAUUUGACUCAACACGGGAAAACUCACCCGGCCCGGACACUGUAAGGAUUGACGGACUGAGAGCUCCUUCUUAAUUCGGUGGGUGGUGGUGCAUGGCCGUUCUUAGUUGGUGAAGCGAUUUGUCUGGUUAAUUCCGAUAACGAACGAGACUCUGGCCUAUUAAAUAGACGGUGUAUCUUGAGGUAUACCGCGCUUCUUAGAGGGACAAGCGGCGUCUAUCCGCAUGAAAUAGAGCAAUAACAGGUCUGUGAUGCCCUUAGAUGUCCGGGGCUGCACGCGCGCUACACUGAAAGAAUCAGCGUGCGAUUAGCCUGGUUCGGAAGAAUCGGGUAACCCAAGUAAAUCCUUUCGUGCUUGGGAUAGGGAAUUGCAAUUAUUUCCCUUAAACGAGGAACUCCCAGUAAAUGCGGGUCAUAAGCUCGCGUUGAUUACGUCCCUGCCCUUUGUACACACCGCCCGUCGCUACUACCGAUUGGAUGACUUAGUGA
rnacentral:rRNA from 1 species